CAAAAAGGCAUCUUUUUGUUUUUAAAAGACCUUCUUACGAAGGUAUGCUUAAAGAGGGGCUUGCGCCACAUUAGUUAGUUGGUAGAGUAAAAGCCUACCAAGACGAUGAUGUGUAGCUGGACUGAGAGGUUGAACAGCCACAUUGGGACUGAGACACGGCCCAAACUCCUACGGGAGGCAGCAGUAGGGAAUUUUCGGCAAUGGAGGAAACUCUGACCGAGCAACGCCGCGUGAACGAUGAAGUAUUUCGGUAUGUAAAGUUCUUUUAUUGAAGAAGAAAAAGUAGUGGAAAAACUAUAUUGACGUUAUUCAAUGAAUAAGCCCCGGCUAACUAUGUGCCAGCAGCCGCGGUAAGACAUAGGGGGCGAGCGUUAUCCGGAAUUAUUGGGCGUAAAGGGUGCGUAGGCUGUUAGAUAAGUCUAUAAUUUAAUUUCAGUGCUUAACGCUGUCUUGUUAUAGAAACUGUCUUGACUAGAGUGAGAUAGAGGCAAGCGGAAUUCCAUGUGUAGCGGUAAAAUGUGUAAAUAUAUGGAGGAACACCAGAAGCGUAGGCGGCUUGCUGGGUCUUUACUGACGCUGAGGCACGAAAGCGUGGGUAGCAAACAGGAUUAGAUACCCUGGUAGUCCACGCCGUAAACGAUGAGUACUAAGUGUCGGGGUAAAACUCGGUACUGAAGUUAACACAUUAAGUACUCCGCCUGAGUAGUACGUACGCAAGUAUGAAACUUAAAGGAAUUGACGGGACUCCGCACAAGCGGUGGAUCAUGUUGUUUAAUUCGAAGAUACACGAAAAAUCUUACCAGGUCUUGACAUACUCUGCAAAGCUAUAGAAAUAUAGUGGAGGUUAUCAGGGAUACAGGUGGUGCAUGGUUGUCGUCAGUUCGUGUCGUGAGAUGUUAGGUUAAGUCCUAAAACGAACGCAACCCUUGUCGUUAAUUGCCAGCACAUAAUGGUGGGGACUUUAACGAGACUGCCAAUUAAACAUUGGAGGAAGGUGAGGAUUACGUCAAAUCAUCAUGCCCCUUAUGAUCUGGGCUACAAACGUGAUACAAUGGCUGUGACAAAGAGUAGCUGAAACGCGAGUUUUUAGCCAAUCUCAAAAAAGCAGUCUCAGUUCGGAUUGAAGUCUGUAACUCGACUUCAUGAAGUUGGAAUCGCUAGUAAUCGCGAAUCAGCAUGUCGCGGUGAAUACGUUCUCGGGGUUUGUACACACCGCCCGUCAAACCACGAAAGUUAGCAAUGCCCGAAAGCAGUAGCUUAACUUCGCAAGAAGAGGGAACUGUCUAAGGUAGGGUUGAUGAUUGG
rnacentral:rRNA from 1 species